rnacentral:ncRNA from 1 species
GUUGCUUAUAUAAUAAACAGUUAGUUUAUUAUAGUUUAUGAGGCGUGAUCUGCAAGUCGGGCUAUUAGAGAAUGCAGUUGUAAAUGGGAGGUGAAUUCCUUCGAAGGCUAAAUAUUGGCAAGAGACCGAUAACGAACAAGUACCGCGAGGGAAAGAUGAAAAGGACUUUGAAAAAAGAGUUAAACAGUGCUUGAAAUUGCUGGGAGGGAAGCGAAUGGAAGCUGCGCUGCAUUUAUUGAUAAGCAUUGUAAUCGCUGCCAGUAGAUUUUAGAUUCUAUCAGCAGAGGGCCUUCUCCUAAACGUAGUGGAUAGAUUUGCCUUGCGAACAAAACCUAAUGUAAUCCUUGAUAAAACCAUGUGUAAUCAAAGUUUUUCCAAUAAUCAAAGCUGAUGUUUUAUGGAUUCCAGGACAACCCAUUGCGUACUUUGGUUACAGACAGCACUACCCAAGCAUGUAUACUGGAUCAUGGGGUGAGUCUUCACACACUCUUUGAAAUAAGAUUCAUAGCCUGUUUGCGCUCAACAAAUGUUACAACCAAUUUCUGGAACACAUGUUGAAUUUCUUGUUGGAGUUAGCUAACUCGUAUCAAAGCAAUUUAAUACCAAGCUCCUGAUUCCGCAUCAACAGUAAAUGAACUGACGUCUCAAUCUAUUGAUGCGCAAACUCAUUGUUGCGCAAGUAAACCGACAAGAGAGACCCCCAUCAACCAACCGUGAUCUUCUGUGAAAAGUUUGAGUAUGUGCAUACAUGUUGGGACCUGAAAGAUGGUGAAGUGUGCCUGUGCAGGGCGAAGCAAAAGAAAACUCUGCUGGAGGCUCGUAGCGAUACUGACGUGCAAAUCAUUCGUCAAAAUUGGGUAUACGGGCAAAAGACUAAUCGAACCAUGUACUAGCUGGUUCCCUUGAACAGCACUAAGAACCUAUCACGAAUUGCAAAGAGUGCAAAGAAGAGCUGAUGACUGUGGA